ACAUGGCUAGCUCAGUUGGUAGGGCAUGUGAUUCUUAAUCUCAGGGUCAUGAGUUCAAGCCCCAUGUUGGGCA
rnacentral:tRNA from 1 species